CAUGCUCUCUUUUCACAAUGCCGCUUAAAAACGGUACCUGGAUGCAGUGUCCCAGAAGACCCUAUCUGCCUUGCACCUAAUUGCUUCUACUAUACAUGCAUCAUCUCCCCGGCUUAGAAUCAAUGAGAACUGACAUAUCUAAUGGUAGAAAGAGCCCUGGGAUGAACAGUAGAAGACCUUGGUCCUUGUUCUCAAUCUGCUAUGAGUUCUUUGUUGUGGGGAUCAAUCGAAAUAUCUGUGAAGCACUUAGCACAGUGCCUGGCAUAUAUGAAAGAAACUGAGUAUCCGAGAAACAAGGGGAGCUGUCCAUAGCCACACAACGAGUUGGUGACAGUUGGGGUUAUAUCCCAGAUUUCCUGAAUCCCAGUUCAAUGUUCCUCCUUCCCCAUACUUAACAGAUCAUCUGAUGGCUCCUAUAACAUCUUAGGCAGACAAGACAUCUUUACCUCCUAAAUCAUUGCUCAAGAAAAGAAGAGAAGCUGAGAUUUAGCUGGUCGCGAUUUCCAAAGGAGACUGUUUUGGAACGUUUG